UUUUUUUAUUACACAGCCCUAAACACUUCCAGUGGUUGGUGCCAUGCUCCAGCUAACCAUCUGCCGAGUGCAUCCCAAUUUGGCCAAGUGGCUGAUGCUUAAAGUAGCUCAGGAUCCAGUUUUGAGCACCAUCACCCAAGGCCACCAAAUUAUCUCAAGCAGCAAGCUCUGACACUCACCUGGAUUUAGUGAACACAGAUUUUUCUAACCAGUUUCUGCUAUUGAAAUGGACUGAGUAUAGGCCAUACCCUCGUCCUUUGGGACGUCACUGCCUAACACAAAAAGCCUACCCAUCAGGAGCCACUUUCCAUGGCCCUCCACUGUGAUUCCACUCUAAAUAUAUCAUCAUUCAGUCAAUGAACUCUUGUUUGUUAAGUAGCUACAUCACAAAUGCCCCAACUCUUGGCCCCAAAACUUGAACAACUUGAAUACAUGCUUUGGAGACAAAAACAUACCUACGUCAGACAGAGGUCACAAAUGGGAAACAGGCUAAUACAAAGGCUGGUGUCCACAAGACCUAAGAGAAGAACAUGGUUUUCUAAGCACAGAGACAGAAGAGAAGCAUUGCCUGUCUGUUGUCCUGAGUAAGUUUCUCCAACGCAUCCACACUCCACUUAACAUGCAGGAACAAGCACCGGGUGGAGACUACCUGAAUGCCUCCAUAUAGUAACAUUCAGUGCCUGGCGAUCUUGAACCGCCUUCUCCUUCAACAGGCUUAGGGGACUACGAUGGAGUUGUGGAAAAUAGAAGGAUCUACUCCAUCUGAAGGGCAAAAUGGCAAGGUUUAGACUAGAGGGAAAUGAGAAAAAAAGAAGGUUGAUCCUUUCUCAAGUUUAGAAUUACACCGCAACGCAAAAAUGUGUCUUUGCUGCAACAGUAACCGUUAUUACUGAGGCACUGGUUUUACUGAAACAUGGCCUCAAUCUGCCUAAUCCUUGCCCUCUCCAUAAGCAUCACCACAGUCCACGCUAGCUUUUGCCAUCUCUCACCUGGACCUGCACCAGCCUCCAACUGGCCUCUAUGCUUCUGCUCCUUCCCCUACAAUUCUGUGUUCAGGAAUCAGCGUUGGCUUCCAACAUGCAAAUCCGGUUAUGUCACCCCUCUUCUUAAAACCCUGCAAAGGUUUCCCUUUUUG